rnacentral:rRNA from 1 species
CACUCCUACGGGAGGCAGCAGUGGGGAAUUUUGGACAAUGGGGGCAACCCUGAUCCAGCAAUGCCGCGUGAGUGAAGAAGGCCUUCGGGUUGUAAAGCUCUUUUGUCAGGGAAGAAACGGUGGUGGCGAAUAACUACUACUAAUGACGGUACCUGAAGAAUAAGCACCGGCUAACUACGUGCCAGCAGCCGCGGUAAUACGUAGGGUGCAAGCGUUAAUCGGAAUUACUGGGCGUAAAGCGUGCGCAGGCGGUUGUGUAAGUCAGAUGUGAAAUCCCCGGGCUCAACCUGGGAAUUGCAUUUGAGACUGCACGGCUAGAGUGUGUCAGAGGGGGGUAGAAUUCCACGUGUAGCAGUGAAAUGCGUAGAUAUGUGGAGGAAUACCGAUGGCGAAGGCAGCCCCCUGGGAUAACACUGACGCUCAUGCACGAAAGCGUGGGGAGCAAACAGGAUUAGAUACCCCAGUAGUCCCAUG